rnacentral:tRNA from 1 species
UGCGUAGUAGCUCAGUAGGUAGAGCAGCGGACUGUUAAUCCGUUGGUCACUGGUUCGAACCCAGCCUACGCAGCCA